UUCUGCUUCUUGUAAAUGAUUGAGUACUUAUUGUAUGUGCUUGUGGUGUUCAGUGAGUGAUCCAUCAGUGAAGAUCAGGAUAUCAUUCAUGUAUGCUGAUGUGAUCUCAUCAAGUAGAUCUUAUAGAGCUCAGUUGAUAUAUUUCUGGAAUGUGCUGGAGGUGUUUGCUAGCUCAAAGAGAGUCACUGUCCAUUUGUAUAGUCUGUAAUAUGUAUGAAAGAUGGUUAGCCAUUUGUUAUCUUUGUUGAUUCUUAUCUUGUAGAAGGCUGCAGAGAUGUCAAGCUUUGUGAAUCAUUUCACUUUUUCUAUUUGUUUGAGUGUUUCAUUGAUG
rnacentral:sRNA from 2 species